rnacentral:rRNA from 1 species
AUUGAACGCUGGCGGCGUGCCUAACACAUGCAAGUCGAGCGGUAACGCGGGAGCAAUCCUGGCGACGAGCGGCGAACGGGUGAGUAAUGCUUCGGAAUCUGCCCAAUGGUGGGGAAUAACCAGCCGAAAGGUUGGCUAAUACCGCAUAAGUCCUAAGGGAGAAAGCGGGGAGUCGUAAGACCUCGCGCCGAUGGAUGAGCCGAAGUCGGAUUAGCUAGUUGGUAGGGUAACGGCCGACCAAGGCGACAAUCCGUAGCUGGUCUGAGAGGACGACCAGCCACACUGGGACGUGAGACACGGCCCAGACUCCUACGGGAGGCAGCAGUGGGGAAGUAUUGGACAAUGGGGAAACCCGUGAUCCAGCGACGCCGCGUGUGUGAAGAAGGCCUGCGGG